UGCCGAACAAGUGUAGAUCUUUCACUAAAGGC
rnacentral:piRNA from 1 species